rnacentral:tRNA from 1 species
GGAAACAUAGUUCAAUGGCAGAACGGCUGCUUGUUAAGCAGAGGGUUGAAUGUUCGAAUCAUUCUGUUUCCG